AGUUUGAAUCCUGGCUCAGGACGAACGCUGGCGGCGUGCUUAACACAUGCAAGUCGAACGAUGAACCACUUCGGUGGGGAUUAGUGGCGAACGGGUGAGUAACACGUGGGCAAUCUGCCCUUCACUCUGGGACAAGCCCUGGAAACGGGGUCUAAUACCGGAUGACACUYCKWCWGGCAUSKGWGGGGGUUGAAAGCUCCGGCGGUGAAGGAUGAGCCCGCGGCCUAUCAGCUUGUUGGUGAGGUAGUGGCUCACCAAGGCGACGACGGGUAGCCGGCCUGAGAGGGCGACCGGCCACACUGGGACUGAGACACGGCCCAGACUCCUACGGGAGGCAGCAGUGGGGAAUAUUGCACAAUGGGCGAAAGCCUGAUGCAGCGACGCCGCGUGAGGGAUGACGGCCUUCGGGUUGUAAACCUCUUUCAGCAGGGAAGAAGCGAA
rnacentral:rRNA from 1 species